CAACACUUGUAUGGAUUGGCAUCAUCUUCAUUCUCCACUAAACAAACACCAAACAAUGUCCACAACCAACAUGCAAACAAACACUUUGGUUACAGAUACCACGUCUGUACUUGAGGAGAACGACCAUCGAGCGACAGGUCUUCUCCCCUGGAGGUUGGUGGCAACAAAACUGGAUGUCUUCGACAAGACAUCAGGACAUUUUCCAGCCGUGUUUGUGGAGACAUAACCUGGUCGUUCAGACUGUGACAGAAGCGAAAGGACAGUGGGAUCAACUUAAAAGCCAGGAAACAAAGCGAGUCUGUCGACUCCACUCUGCGUCUGAUCCACCACUGAUGCACUGGUCGGUGUUCACGUACCUGUCAGGAGCUGUGAGUGCGAGGAGGAAGCGGCUGUGUUCGUCGGGUGAUAUCCUUCCUCUCGGCAGCGGCGAGGAGAACGCCCUGCUCACACAAAGGGUGAGAAGGAAUUCCCGAGUGUGACACGAUGAGUCCUCUGGGAGUCCAAAGCGUUCAGGUGUCGCCACUCAGCACUCGUCCUCUGCUUCUCUGAUGGGCGGAAUCAAGCUGCUCGUGGAUUUAUACUGACUGACUUGGUUGACGGCGAGAGUAUUCACAGGCUUGAUCUGUAUGGUCCUCAGGUGGGUAUUCUCUGGCUCAUCUGUAAACCAUGUCUUUUCUGAGAAGGAGCCAAAAUCAUACAGAGACAAAGAGGAGGGACAGGAAACAGUUAAUGCUACAGUUUCGGUGGUUUUCAGUGCACAUAGAACAUUUGGGAGGACAUUUUUUUUUUUUUUAAACAAACAGUCGUUUGGAUUUGUAGAAAGAAAUUCUGACAUGAUAAAAAUAUGCUACAAGAUGUUUUUGUUUUGUUUUUUGGAAGGUCAAGGCCUAAAUGUCCCUUUUCACCUCUGUAACGUCACUCAUCUCGUGUGUUUUGAAGCAUGCUGUUUGUUGGGUCAGCAGACAUGCAGAUCACCAGUUAAACAAAAUCUGUUUCCACCGUACCAAAUUACAAGUUAAUACUUUUAACUUCACAAGUUUUAAUCUCUUCGAGGGGCUUCAGGCUUUUGGCUUGAUGCAACUCUCUUUUCUUAUAGAAGGGAAAAUAGAUAGUCUGGCAUAAUAUAUCGCUGGUGGUGAUUCAUCCGGUUGGCAAUAUCCGUGGUCAUGCAUUUUCAUCAAUAUGACUUAAGGCUGUGGUUCUACAGUACAUUAAAAUAAAUGCCAGCAGAUACAUGUUGCCAAUAACAAAACAUCAAACAUCGCUGCAGAGUAAAUGAAGUGGCAU